CUUCCAGGCUAGGGGUCCUGCGCAUGGCGCGGGUGAGAAAAACCCUUCGAACCUGAUCUCGAUAAUGCGAGCGCAGGGAAGCUGGAACAGUAUGGC
rnacentral:ncRNA from 2 species